AUUGAACGCUGGCGGCAUGCUUUACACAUGCAAGUCGAACGGCAGCGCGGGCUUCGGCCUGGCGGCGAGUGGCGCACGGGUGAGUAAUGCAUCGGAACGUGCCCAGUAGUGGGGGAUAGCCCCUCGAAAGCAGGAUUAAUACCGCAUACGACCUGAGGGUGCAAGAGGGGGGCCGAAAGGCCUCGCGCGCUUGGAGCGGCCGAUGUCGGAUUAGCUAGUUGGUGGGGUAAAGGCUUACCAAGGAGACGAUCCGUAGCUGGUCUGAGAGGACGACCAGCCACACUGGAACUGGGACACGGCCCAGACGCCUACGGGAGGCAGCAGUGGGGAAUUUUGGACAAUGGGGGCAACCCUGAUCCAGCCAUGCCGCGUGCGGGAAGAAGGCCUUCGGGUUGUAAACCGCUUUUGUUCGGGAAGAAAUCCUCUGGGCUAAUACCCCGGGGGGAUGACGGUACCGGAAGAAUAAGCACCGGCUAACUACGUG
rnacentral:rRNA from 1 species